GACAAAGAGACGAUGACGAUAUUCAGCAUGCCACCCAAGAUGGGGCAGCCAAUGAUGCACCCCGAUGGAAGGCUGAAUGAUCCUUCACCGAAGAUGAGUGGUCAUCUAGACCGGAGGAUGCCAGCACAGGAGAAU